rnacentral:rRNA from 1 species
GCUAAGACUGGAUAGGAAAGAAAAUAAGGCAUCUUAUUUCUUUUAAAAGACCUAGUAAUAGGUAUACUUUAGGAGGGGCUUGCGCCAUAUUAGUUAGUUGGUAGGGUAAUGGCCUACCAAGACGAUGAUGUGUAGCUGGACUGAGAGGUUGAACAGCCACAUUGGGACUGAGACACGGCCCAAACUCCUACGGGAGGCAGCAGUAAGGAAUUUUCGGCAAUGGAGGAAACUCUGACCGAGCAACGCCGCGUGAACGACGAAGUACUUUGGUAUGUAAAGUUCUUUUAUCAAGGAAGAAAAGCAAGUGGUGAACCAUUUGUUUGCCGGUACUUGAUGAAUAAGCCCCGGCUAAUUAUGUGCCAGCAGCCGCGGUAAGACAUAAGGGGCAAGUGUUAUCCGGAAUUAUUGGGCGUAAAGGGUGCGUAGGCGGUCUAGUAAGUCAGUGGUGUAAUGGCAACGCUCAACGUUGUCCGGCUAUUGAAACUGCUAAACUUGAGUUAGAUAGAGGCGAGUGGAAUUCCAUGUGUAGCGGUAAAAUGCGUAAAUAUAUGGAGGAACACCAGAGGCGUAGGCGGCUCGCUGGGUCUUAACUGACGCUGAGGCACGAAAGCGUGGGGAGCAAACAGGAUUAGAUACCCUGGUAGUCCACGCCGUAAACGAUGAGUACUAAGUGUCGGGUUAAACCGGUACUGAAGUUAACACAUUAAGUACUCCGCCUGAGUAGUACGUACGCAAGUAUGAAACUUAAAGGAAUUGACGGGACUCCGCACAAGCGGUGGAUCAUGUUGUUUAAUUCGAAGAUACCCGAAAAACCUUACCAGGUCUUGACAUGUUUUUGCGAAACGAUAGUAAUAUCGUAGAGGUUAUCAGAAACACAGGUGGUGCAUGGUUGUCGUCAGCUCGUGUCGUGAGAUGUUAGGUUAAGUCCUAAAACGAGCGAAACCCUUAUCGUUAGUUGCCAGCACGUUAUGGUGGGGACUUUAACGAGACUGCCAGUGAUAAACUGGAGGAAGGUGAGGAUCACGUCAAAUCAGCAUGCCCCUUAUGACCUGGGCUACAAACGUGAUACAAUGGCUGUUACAAAGGGUAGCUGAAACGUAAGUUCUUGGCCAAUCCCCAAAAACAGUCUCAGUCCGGAUUGAAGUCUGCAACUCGACUUCAUGAAGUUGGAAUCGCUAGUAAUCGCGAAUCAGCAUGUCGCGGUGAAUACGUUCUCGGGGUUUGUACACACCGCCCGUCAA